CCUGCUAAGGAUGAACGCUGGCGGCGUGCUUAACACAUGCAAGUCGAACGAUGAUCCCAGCUUGCUGGGGGAUUAGUGGCGAACGGGUGAGUAACACGUGAGUAACCUGCCCUUAACUCUGGGAUAAGCCUGGGAAACUGGGUCUAAUACCGGAUAUGACUCCUCAUCGCAUGGUGGGGGGUGGAAAGCUUUAUUGUGGUUUUGGAUGGACUCGCGGCCUAUCAGCUUGUUGGUGAGGUAAUGGCUUACCAAGGCGACGACGGGUAGCCGGCCUGAGAGGGUGACCGGCCACACUGGGACUGAGACACGGCCCAGACUCCUACGGGAGGCAGCAGUGGGGAAUAUUGCACAAUGGGCGCAAGCCUGAUGCAGCGACGCCGCGUGAGGGAUGACGGCCUUCGGGUUGUAAACCUCUUUCAGUAGGGAAGAAGCGAAAGUGACGGUGCCUGCAGAAGAAGCGCCGGCUAACUACGUGCCAGCAGCCGCGGUAAUACGUAGGGCGCAAGCGUUAUCCGGAAUUAUUGGGCGUAAAGAGCUCGUAGGCGGUUUGUCGCGUCUGCCGUGAAAGUCCGGGGCUCAACUCCGGAUCUGCGGUGGGUACGGGCAGACUAGAGUGAUGUAGGGGAGACUGGAAUUCCUGGUGUAGCGGUGAAAUGCGCAGAUAUCAGGAGGAACACCGAUGGCGAAGGCAGGUCUCUGGGCAUUAACUGACGCUGAGGAGCGAAAGCAUGGGGAGCGAACAGGAUUAGAUACCCUGGUAGUCCAUGCCGUAAACGUUGGGCACUAGGUGUGGGGGACAUUCCACGUUUUCCGCGCCGUA
rnacentral:rRNA from 1 species